CAUGGCUCAGAUUGAACGCUGGCGGCAGGCCUAACACAUGCAAGUCGAGCGGAAACGAGUUGUCUGAACCUUCGGGGAACGAUAACGGCGUCGAGCGGCGGACGGGUGAGUAAUGCCUAGGAAAUUGCCCUGAUGUGGGGGAUAACCAUUGGAAACGAUGGCUAAUACCGCAUGAUGCCUACGGGCCAAAGAGGGGGACCUUCGGGCCUCUCGCGUCAGGAUAUGCCUAGGUGGGAUUAGCUAGUUGGUGAGGUAAGGGCUCACCAAGGCGACGAUCCCUAGCUGGUCUGAGAGGAUGAUCAGCCACACUGGAACUGAGACACGGUCCAGACUCCUACGGGAGGCAGCAGUGGGGAAUAUUGCACAAUGGGCGCAAGCCUGAUGCAGCCAUGCCGCGUGUAUGAAGAAGGCCUUCGGGUUGUAAAGUACUUUCAGUCGUGAGGAAGGUGGUGUUGUUAAUAGCAGCAUCAUUUGACGUUAGCGACAGAAGAAGCACCGGCUAACUCCGUGCCAGCAGCCGCGGUAAUACGGAGGGUGCGAGCGUUAAUCGGAAUUACUGGGCGUAAAGCGCAUGCAGGUGGUUUGUUAAGUCAGAUGUGAAAGCCCGGGGCUCAACCUCGGAAUAGCAUUUGAAACUGGCAGACUAGAGUACUGUAGAGGGGGGUAGAAUUUCAGGUGUAGCGGUGAAAUGCGUAGAGAUCUGAAGGAAUACCGGUGGCGAAGGCGGCCCCCUGGACAGAUACUGACACUCA
rnacentral:rRNA from 1 species